rnacentral:misc_RNA from 1 species
AAGUCGUAACAAGGUUUCCGUAGGUGAACCUGCGGAAGGAUCAUUAACAGAUUCUGCUAGCCAGAUAUCUUACCCCGUGUCAACUGUUCUUUAGACUUGGUCCCCAAGACUCGAGGCUCUCCGAGAGGGGCUGCUGGAGGCCUUAAAAUAGCCGACGCGUCUCUCAAGGGUGUCUCGACUCUAAGCACCAUCAUUUUUACCCUUUAACUUUGAAUGCCGAGAAACUUACAAAAGACUAGAAAACUUUUAGCAACGGAUCUCUAGGCUCUU